rnacentral:rRNA from 1 species
UUAAGCGACUAAGCGUACACGGUGGAUGCCCUGGCAGUCAGAGGCGAUGAAGGACGUGCUAAUCUGCGAUAAGCGUCGGUAAGGUGAUAUGAACCGUUAUAACCGGCGAUUUCCGAAUGGGGAAACCCAGUGUGAUUCGUCACACUAUCAUUAACUGAAUCCAUAGGUUAAUGAGGCGAACCGGGGGAACUGAAACAUCUAAGUACCCCGAGGAAAAGAAAUCAACCGAGAUUCCCCCAGUAGCGGCGAGCGAACGGGGAGCAGCCCAGAGCCUGAAUCAGUGUGUGUGUUAGUGGAAGCGUCUGGAAAGGCGUGCGAUACAGGGUGACAGCCCCGUACACAAAAAUGCACAUGCUGUGAGCUCGAUGAGUAGGGCGGGACACGUGGUAUCCUGUCUGAAUAUGGGGGGACCAUCCUCCAAGGCUAAAUACUCCUGACUGACCGAUAGUGAACCAGUACCGUGAGGGAAAGGCGAAAAGAACCCCGGCGAGGGGAGUGAAAAAGAACCUGAAACCGUGUACGUACAAGCAGUGGGAGCACGCUUAGGCGUGUGACUGCGUACCUUUUGUAUAAUGGGUCAGCGACUUAUAUUCUGUAGCAAGGUUAACCGAAUAGGGGAGCCGAAGGGAAACCGAGUCUUAACUGGGCGUUAAGUUGCAGGGUAUAGACCCGAAACCCGGUGAUCUAGCCAUGGGCAGGUUGAAGGUUGGGUAACACUAACUGGAGGACCGAACCGACUAAUGUUAGAAAAAUUAGCGGAUGACUUGUGGCUGGGGGUGAAAGGCCAAUCAAACCGGGAGAUAGCUGGUUCUCCCCGAAAGCUAUUUAGGUAGCGCCUCGUGAAUUCAUCUCCGGGGGUAGAGCACUGUUUCGGCAAGGGGGUCAUCCCGACUUACCAACCCGAUGCAAACUGCGAAUACCGGAGAAUGUUAUCACGGGAGACACACGGCGGGUGCUAACGUCCGUCGUGAAGAGGGAAACAACCCAGACCGCCAGCUAAGGUCCCAAAGUCAUGGUUAAGUGGGAAACGAUGUGGGAAGGCCCAGACAGCCAGGAUGUUGGCUUAGAAGCAGCCAUCAUUUAAGAAAGCGUAAUAGCUCACUGGUCGAGUCGGCCUGCGCGGAAGAUGUAACGGGGCUAAACCAUGCACCGAAGCUGCGGCAGCGACACUAUGUGUUGUUGGGUAGGGGAGCGUUCUGUAAGCCUGUGAAGGUGUACUGUGAGGUAUGCUGGAGGUAUCAGAAGUGCGAAUGCUGACAUAAGUAACGAUAAAGCGGGUGAAAAGCCCGCUCGCCGGAAGACCAAGGGUUCCUGUCCAACGUUAAUCGGGGCAGGGUGAGUCGACCCCUAAGGCGAGGCCGAAAGGCGUAGUCGAUGGGAAACAGGUUAAUAUUCCUGUACUUGGUGUUACUGCGAAGGGGGACGGAGAAGGCUAUGUUGGCCGGGCGACGGUUGUCCCGGUUUAAGCGUGUAGGCUGGUUUUCCAGGCAAAUCCGGAAAAUCAAGGCUGAGGCGUGAUGACGAGGCACUACGGUGCUGAAGCAACAAAUGCCCUGCUUCCAGGAAAAGCCUCUAAGCAUCAGGUAACAUCAAAUCGUACCCCAAACCGACACAGGUGGUCAGGUAGAGAAUACCAAGGCGCUUGAGAGAACUCGGGUGAAGGAACUAGGCAAAAUGGUGCCGUAACUUCGGGAGAAGGCACGCUGAUAUGUAGGUGAAGUCCCUCGCGGAUGGAGCUGAAAUCAGUCGAAGAUACCAGCUGGCUGCAACUGUUUAUUAAAAACACAGCACUGUGCAAACACGAAAGUGGACGUAUACGGUGUGACGCCUGCCCGGUGCCGGAAGGUUAAUUGAUGGGGUCAGCGCAAGCGAAGCUCUUGAUCGAAGCCCCGGUAAACGGCGGCCGUAACUAUAACGGUCCUAAGGUAGCGAAAUUCCUUGUCGGGUAAGUUCCGACCUGCACGAAUGGCGUAAUGAUGGCCAGGCUGUCUCCACCCGAGACUCAGUGAAAUUGAACUCGCUGUGAAGAUGCAGUGUACCCGCGGCAAGACGGAAAGACCCCGUGAACCUUUACUAUAGCUUGACACUGAACAUUGAGCCUUGAUGUGUAGGAUAGGUGGGAGGCUUUGAAGUGUGGACGCCAGUCUGCAUGGAGCCGACCUUGAAAUACCACCCUUUAAUGUUUGAUGUUCUAACGUUGACCCGUAAUCCGGGUUGCGGACAGUGUCUGGUGGGUAGUUUGACUGGGGCGGUCUCCUCCUAAAGAGUAACGGAGGAGCACGAAGGUUGGCUAAUCCUGGUCGGACAUCAGGAGGUUAGUGCAAUGGCAUAAGCCAGCUUGACUGCGAGCGUGACGGCGCGAGCAGGUGCGGAAGCAGGUCAUAGUGAUCCGGUGGUUCUGAAUGGAAGGGCCAUCGCUCAACGGAUAAAAGGUACUCCGGGGAUAACAGGCUGAUACCGCCCAAGAGUUCAUAUCGACGGCGGUGUUUGGCACCUCGAUGUCGGCUCAUCACAUCCUGGGGCUGAAGUAGGUCCCAAGGGUAUGGCUGUUCGCCAUUUAAAGUGGUACGCGAGCUGGGUUUAGAACGUCGUGAGACAGUUCGGUCCCUAUCUGCCGUGGGCGCUGGAGAACUGAGGGGGGCUGCUGCUAGUACGAGAGGACCGGAGUGGACGCAUCACUGGUGUUCGGGUUGUCAUGCCAAUGGCACUGCCCGGUAGCUAAAUGCGGAAGAGAUAAGUGCUGAAAGCAUCUAAGCACGAAACUUGCCCCGAGAUGAGUUCUCCCUGUCUCCUUGAGAGUCCUGAAGGAACGUUGAAGACGACGACGUUGAUAGGCCGGAUGUGUAAGCGCAGCGAUGCGUUGAGCUAACCGGUACUAAUGAACCGUGAGGCUUAACCUU